UACGUAGGGGGGCAAGCGUUGUCCGGAAUUAUUGGGCGUAAAGGGCUCGUAGGCGGUCUGUUACGUCGGGAGUGAAAACUCAGGGCUCAACCCUGAGCCUGCUUCCGAUACGGGCAGACUAGAGGUAUGCAGGGGAGAAUGGAAUUCCUGGUGUAGCGGUGAAAUGCGCAGAUAUCAGGAGGAACACCGGUGGCGAAGGCGGUUCUCUGGGCAUUACCUGACGCUGAGGAGCGAAAGUGUGGGGAGCGAACAGG
rnacentral:rRNA from 1 species